UCCGCUACUUUUAGAAAGACUGAACUUGUUGAAGGGCGCGGUGCUGCUGUCGCAAAAUUAGUAUUCUAUUUUUUUCUGUUGUAUAAGUGUGAUCGGGAUUAUAUGGCGUUAAAAAGAUGCACCACGCUCUGGAAAACUAAUUGUAAAAAAAUGGAAAUCUUCGAAUCCGAACAUCAUCAAA